rnacentral:rRNA from 1 species
UACGUAGGGGGGCGAGCGUUGUCCGGAUUUAUUGGGCGUAAAGAGCUCGUAGGCGGUGUGUCACGUCGGCCGUGAAAACCUGCAGCUUAACUGUGGGCGUGCGGUCGAUACGGGCAUCACUGGAGUUCGGCAGGGGAGACUGGAAUUCCUGGUGUAGCGGUGAAAUGCGCAGAUAUCAGGAGGAACACCGGUGGCGAAGGCGGGUCUCUGGGCCGUAACUGACGCUGAGGAGCGAAAGCAUGGGGAGCGAACAGG